UGGGGAAUUUUGGACAAUGGGCGAAAGCCUGAUCCAGCAAUGCCGCGUGUGUGAAGAAGGCCUUCGGGUUGUAAAGCACUUUUGUCCGGAAAGAAAUCCUUGGCUCUAAUACAGUCGGGGGAUGACGGUACCGGAAGAAUAAGCACCGGCUAACUACGUGCCGGCAGCCGCGGUAAUACGUAGGGUGCAAGCGUUAAUCGGAAUUACUGGGCGUAAAGCGUGCGCAGGCGGUUUUGCUAAGACCGAUGUGAAAUCCCCGGGCUCAACCUGGGAACUGCAUUGGUGACUGGCAGGCUAGAGUAUGGCAGAGGGGGGUUAGAAUUCCACGUGUAGCAGUGAAAUGCGUAGAGAUGUGGAGGAAUACCGAUGGCGAAGGCAGCCCCCUGGGCCAAUACUGACGCUCAUGCACGAAAGCGUGGGGAGCAAACAGGAUUAGAUACCCUGGUAGUCCACGCCCUAAACGAUGUCAACUAGUUGUUGGGGGAUUCAUUUUCCUUAGUAACGUAGCUAACGCGUGAGUUGACCGCCUGGGGAGUAC
rnacentral:rRNA from 1 species